rnacentral:lncRNA from 1 species
UGGAUUUUGAUGGUUUAAGAAUAAUUUUGAAAAAAAAUCCUGAUUUUCAACAAGUAGGAAAUUACUUUUUUAUGCCUUUUAUGAUUUUUUAUAAAAUAUAAAAAUUUUAUUCUCAUAAAAAUACUAUUUUUUUGUAACCACGCUUUUUCUCUUUCUGUUUUCACCGAACCGAAUGGUUGAUAUAGACAAAAAGAAUCUGGACUCUCCUGGCUAGCCCAUUCAUUUGUACGGCAAUAUUUGCUAUUUAGCCUCUCCAAAAUUUGAAAAGCACUUACAUCCAUGCUUACAUCCAUCUGCUUGGAGAAACAAUUUAGCUCAUCACAUUAUGAUGCGGCUGCAUCAAAAUUAUUUAGUUUGGAUCGCAUUUUAAAGCGAUUCCAUUGAAGCAUUGGUGUCUAGGGAACAAAAGAGCCAGUUUGAGAAUGCAAUACCCUCUAAUGUGUAACUUAUGUUGUUCUUCGCUGCUGUUUCGCACCUGGGCAGGGCUGAAUUCAAGAGGAGCAAUGAAUUUGACUUCUUGCACUUCAGGAGCCGACUCUAGUGGGAUGCAAACUAAAUAUGUUUUUAUUUUUCUUGGCCAUUUCUCACAAAUUUGGUUCACUUCAAAGGAGUGCAAAAUGACAAAAAGAGAGUGGAAAUAUAAUGAAGUGCCUUAAGAGAAGGGUUAAAGAGGGCCCUCAGGGAGCUGUCGAGAUCCCACCUUUCAACACUCUCAGUAUGAUCGUCAACAGCCUCCCCCAUAAACUCCCAAAAUCUUGUUCACACUUCAAGCGACCAGUCCACCGCCCUCACACUCCUCUUAAGCCUCCUCACUUCCAUAUAGUCCCCAUUUAGGGCUUUGAGUGGCUCCUUGGUACUCCAAUCUGACUCAGUUAUUUACAAAUAAUUAAGGCUAUCAUUGUUAUUGGACAAGGUUCUUUCCCUUUCUUAGUCCUCGGGCCUAAUUUUCUCUAAAAAAAAUUAAUUCCUCUUCAUUUUUGAUUGUCCGAUGAACUCAUCCGAUGAAACCCUAGUCGUAGUGUACAUUUCAUAAAAUUUAUUAUCUAAUAUGAAAGAUUAUACUCCGUAUCGAAGGUUUAUACUAGGCUUCAAU